rnacentral:rRNA from 1 species
UACCAGCACCCCGAGUGGUCGGGACGUUUAUUGGGCCUAAAGCAUCCGUAGCCGGUUCUACAAGUCUUCCGUUAAAUCCACCUGCUUAACAGAUGGGCUGCGGAAGAUACUAUAGAGCUAGGAGGCGGGAGAGGCAAGCGGUACUCGAUGGGUAGGGGUAAAAAUCCGUUGAUCCAUUGAAGACCACCAGUGGCGAAGGCGGCUUGCCAGAACGCGCUCGACGGUGAGGGAUGAAAGCUGGGGGGAGCAACGG